UACAGGUUUGCUUUCGCCUUUGCAUGCUUAUUUAAACCUUUACAGGUUUGCUUUCGCCUUUGCAAGCUUAUUAAAAUCUUUAUAGGUUUGGUUUCGACUUCAUAGGCUUAUUUAAACCUUUACACGUUUGUUUUUGCCUCCACAAGCUUAUCUAAACUUUUACAGGUUUGCUUUCGCCUUCACAGGCUUAUCUAAAUCUUUACAGGUUUGCUUGCGCCUUCAUGAGCUUAUCUAAAACUUUACAGGUUUGCUAUCGCCUUUAUAGGCUUAUCUAAACUUUUACAGGCUAACCUACACCUUCACAGACUUAUUUACGCUUUUACAGGCCUGUCUACGCCUUUCUAAGGCCUACUUAAGCCUUCAUAUGCUCAAUCACGUCUUUCGAAGCAAGGCUUCAUUACGCCUGAUCAGACUUUUUUACAUCUUUCGAGGCUCAAUUAUGCAUGUUUAGGCUCAAAUUUACCUGUCUAGAUUUAAUGUGUUUAUUAAAGUAUAAUCACAUUUGCUCAUGCUCAUUUACGCCUUUCGUCAUGCGAUGCACAAAUAGGCGUACUAAUUCAAUUUAAGGGCGUGUUCUCUUUGGUUGUAAAAUUAUCAUGAGAAAAUGAUGGAAAUGAAAAUGUGGGAUUUUUUUUUCA